CUCCAGACUGGGCAACAAGAGAGAAACUCCGUCUCAAAAAAAACAAAACAAAAAAAAACAAAAAAACAAAAAACAAACUUGCUAGUGCAGUCAGUAAACACACAUAGUGCCUACCAGACUCCAGUCAAUCUCUCCAGCUCCGGCCUUGACACUCCCCACGUAACCCUGCUCCCCAGAGGCACUGGCCUUCGUCCAGUCCUUUGGAUGUGCCUGCUUGUUCCCACCUCAGAACCUUGGCAGUUUGUCAUUUCCCUCCCCUGUGUCGAUCUCUCUGGAUUUCCCCAGGACUGGAUUCUUCCUGACUCCCCGUCUCGAUCUCUCUGGAUUUUCCCAGGACUGGAUUCUUCCUGACUCCCCGUCUGGAUCUCUCUGGAUUUUCCCAGGACUGGAUUCUUCCUGACUCCCCAUCUCAAUCUCUCUGGAUUUUCCCUGGGCUGAAUUCUUCCUGAUAAGUCAUUCUUGAUAUUCAAAGGUUUGCUGAAAUGUCACCUCCUCAGAGAAAUUCUCCCCACCGCGCCCCCAACCACUAUCAUGCCAACUUACUUUGCAUGUCAGAUGGUGUGUAGGGAGUGACUGCUGUUAGCAAUGACUCUUGAUUGAUUUUUGUUCUGGUCGGCUUCUCAUCUGCUGAAAUAGAAGCCCCAUGAGGGCAGGACACUUCUCCUGUGUUCACCGGUGUACUCCCAGUGCCUAGCAAGUUACCUGUGAGUUCCCACUGAACCGCGGCCACCUGCGGCGAGCUCCCACUGAACUGCAGGCCCUGAAGUGAGUCCGGGAUGGAUUUGCCAAACAAAGACAUCACCAACACCACAGAAUAAGGUUCUAGACAAGGAACAAAGAAACAAGCAACAAGUGUUCGAGGAAGAGAAUAAUGGAUCUCAUUUAUUCUAAGGCAUAUUUUUUAGACUUUAAAACUUUCGCCAUAAUUUAGUAAACAGCAUUUUUCUUUCAUCAUGGUGCCUCAAAUAAUAUGCAUCUUGAAAAUGCAUGACCUCAACCAAAAAAAAAAAAAAGGGAAAAA